AGGGAACAUCUAGGGAAGGGGCUC
rnacentral:siRNA from 1 species